AUGGCUCGUGCCAGCACUCGUCUCCCACCUUUUCUCUUGCUCCUCGCAGCAACUUGUGCCGCGGUAGCGAACGCGCAGCUGUCGGAGAACUACUACGGUUCUUCUUGCCCCGCGGCGCUUCUCACUAUCAGGACUACCGUGGCGACGGCGGUGCUGCUCGACCGCCGCAUGGGCGCCUCCCUUCUCCGGCUUUACUUCCACGACUGCUUUGUGCAAGGGUGCGACGCGUCCGUGCUGCUGGACGACACGCCCAGCUUCACCGGCGAAAAGGGGGCGGGGCCGAACGCAGGGUCGCUGCGCGGUUUCGAGGUGAUUGACAGGAUCAAGCUGCUGCUGGAGCUGAUUUGCCCGGGGACCGUCUCCUGCGCCGACAUCCUCGUCGUCGCUGCCCACGACGCCGUCGUCCACCUAGGGGGGCCAUCAUGGACGGUUCUACUUGGGAGGAGGGACGCCACCACCGCAAGUGCGUCCUUGGCCAACAGUGACCUCCCCGGCCCCAACUCCAACCUCAAUGAUCUCCUCGCCGCUUUCUCCAAGAAGGGAUUAAGCAGCACCGACAUGGUUGCUCUCUCAGGGGGGCACACCAUCGGCCGGGCGCAAUGCCAGAAUUACCGAAACCGGAUCUACGCCGACACCGACAUCGACGGGACCUUCGCGGCGUCGCUGCGAGGCGACUGCCCACAGGGUGGUGGCAACGACGGCAACCUCGCGCCUCUCGACGCCUCCUCGCCCGACUACUUCGACAACAGCUACUUCUCCGGCCUCCUCAGCCAUCGGGGGCUGCUCCACUCCGACCAGGCGCUGUACGACGGCGGCUCCACGGACGGUCUGGUCAGGAGCUACGCGUCCAACAAUGAUCAGUUCGGCAGCGACUUCGCGGCCGCCAUGGUGAAGCUGGGCAAUCUCGGUGUGCUCACGGGGGCGUACGGUGAAAUCAGGGUCAACUGCCGGGCAGUAAACUGA
rnacentral:rRNA from 1 species